rnacentral:rRNA from 1 species
UACAUGGGGUGCAAACGUUGCUCGGAAUCAUUGGGCGUAAAGCGCGCGUAGGCGGUUACUUAAGUCGGAUGUGAAAGCCCUCGGCUUAACUGAGGAAGUGCAUCCGAAACUGAGUAGCUGGAGUACGAAAGAGGGUCGCGGAAUUCCCGGUGUAGAGGUGAAAUUCGUAGAUAUCGGGAGGAACACCGGUGGCGAAGGCGGCGACCUGGGCCGAUAUUGACGCUGAGGAGCGAAAGCGUGGGGAGCGAACAGG